rnacentral:lncRNA from 1 species
CUCCCCCUAAUUCCCUCUCUCUUGUGCAGCAGCCCCCAUCCCCUCAACCCUAGCCGCCACCCCCCCUCCCAUCUCCUCCUCUCCAAGUGAUGUCCUUCCUCGCCGGAUCUUCUUCGUGUGGGUGCAAGUUCCGAUUGGAGAAUUGGUGGGAGGAAGGAAGGAGGAAAGGAGGAACCCAAGGUGAUUUUGUGAUUAACUCUUGUUUAUUUGUGCUGCAAUUCAAUCGAUUAGAUGUUUACGUAUGCGAAUUGGUAGAGGUGCUGUCCAGAAAUUUUGUGGGUGCGCGAACAGCAGUAGUUCUAGCAGAUUCUGGGAAUUUUUCGUGGGUAAUUAGUGGGAAUCAGUGGGAGAAUCAUCUAGAGCUUUUUCAUACCUUUCCAAUGAGUACUUAUGCGCUCGAUUCGGAGUUAUAUUUUAGGAGAUAUCGCUGUUUGAAUCCGGGUAUGUUGCUGUCCAAAAAAAAACAGAUUUUGCAGGUGGGCAAACAGCAGUAGUAUUAGCAGUUUCUGGGGAUUUUUCGUGGGAACUUAGUGAUAAUCAAUAUGAGAAUCAUUUAGAGCUUUGUCAUACCUUUCCAACGAGUACUUAUGCACUCGAUUCGGAGUUAUAUUUUAGGAGAUAUUGCUGUUUGAAUCCGGGUAUGUUGCUGUCCAAAAAAAACAGAUUUAUGCAGGUGGGCGAACAACAGUAGUAUUAGCAGUUUCUGGGAAUUUUUCGUGGGAAAUUGGUGAUAAUAAAUAUGAGAAUCAUGUAGAGCCUUGUCAUACCUUUCCAACGAGUACUUAUGCGUUCGAUUCGGAGUUAUAAUUUAGGAGAUAUCGCUGUUUGAAUCCGGUUAUGUUGCUGUCCAAAAACAGAUUGCAGGGUGUAUCUUGUAGACGAGUUUGAGCUAAUUAGAUGCUGGAAUUUAAUUAUCAUUUGAAUAUAAAACUUGUGGGAAAUUUUAUGUAGAUGCUUCCGUAGUUUUUGAUUGAUAUCACUGCUGUUAUAAUUUUAAAGUUAUGAAAUUAUCAAGCAGCACCGCUGCAGUUUGGUGGUGAUGGGGAGAGUUGUCGCUCGCAACGGGUUGGAAUUGUGCGUAGGUGCGGCGUUGUUUAUUAGCGUUUGUUAUGUUGAUUUGUACACUAAGGUGUGUGUCAAAAACAGGUGGUGGACUUCCGGAUCGUACUUAGUACCAUUCCAAAUUCCCG